GGGUGAAAUCUGGUGUUGUUAAGUAGUGGGGCAAAUAAUAUAAAAGUUUUUGAAGCCAUUAAGGUUUUGAUAUAAAACAGGAUUAGAUACCCUGUUAUACAGAACUAAAAUUUAAUCUCUUGAGUAGUAAACAGUUAUAUUCUUGAAACUUAAAGGAUUUGGCGGUAUCUUAGUCUUGUUAGAGGAACCUGUUCUGUAAACGAUAUACCACGAAUUAUCUUACUUUUUCUAGUAUUAUCAGUUUGUAUACCGCCAUUGUUAGAUAGUUUUUAUAAAAAUCUAUUAUAAUAGUCGUUAGUUAAUAUAUUAGGUCAAGGUGCAGCUAAUGUAAAAGUAGUUAAUGGGUUACAAUGAUAUACGUAUAUUAUGGAUUUGGAGUGUAAGAAUCCUUUGAAGGUGGAUUUAAUAGUAAUGCUUAUUUAAUAAGAUAGUUUGAUAAAAGCUCUAAGAUAUGUA
rnacentral:rRNA from 1 species